GAUGAACGCUGGCGGCGUGCCUAAUACAUGCAAGUCGAGCGAACGGACGAGAAGCUUGCUUCUCUGAUGUUAGCGGCGGACUGGUUAGUAACACGUGGAUAACCUACCUAUAAGACUGGGAUAACUUCGGGAAACCGGAGCUAAUACCGGAUAAUAUUUUGAACCGCAUGGUUCAAAAGUGAAAUACGGUCUUGCUGUCACUUAUAGAUGGAUCCGCGCUGCAUUAGCUAGUUGGUAAGGUAACGGCUUACCAAGGCAACGAUGCAUAGCCGACCUGAGAGGGUGAUAGGCCACACUGGAACUGAGACACGGUCCAGACUCCUACGGGAGGCAGCAGUAGGGAAUCUUCCGCAAUGGGAGAAAGCCUGACGGAGCAACGCCGCGUGAGUGAUGAAGGUCUUCGGAUCGUAAAACUCUGUUAUUAGGGAAGAACAUAUGUGUAAGUAACUGUGCACAUCUUGACGGUACCUAAUCAGAAAGCCACGGCUAACUACGUG
rnacentral:rRNA from 1 species